CCUACACCCAUGUGUGUAGGAACCUAAAGGAUCACCAUUAAAUAUAGCACAGAUCUCUAGAAAAGUUAUCACAUUGGUGUGGGACUUGAUUUUUCUAGAGAUCUGUGCCAUAUUUAAUGGUUAUCCGUUGGGGUCCUAUAACAUGGGUGUGGG
rnacentral:pre_miRNA from 1 species